rnacentral:tRNA from 1 species
GCCUUGGUGGUGAAAUGGUAGACACGCGAGACUCAAAAUCUCGUGCUAAAGAGCGUGGAGUCCUCGGGUAGUCUCCUCUAUAAAGGCAUUCCAGCUUCAGAGGUAGGUGAGCCAGGUCAGGAAGGAGUUUGACUGCUGGGAUAGGAUCGGAUCCUAUUCGAAGCA